AUUCACACAACAGUCAUGUUUAGAUUUAGAUGUCUCUCCCAUAUACCGACUAAGCCUCAGUCGGAGUCAGAUGUUUCCUCUUCCCUCCACUCCCUCUGGACUGACACCCAAUCAAAUCUUAGAGACAGCAGUGUCAGGCGGAGUUGCCAUCACACCCGGGCGGUUGUCCAGUCCUAAAACACAUGCUUCACUUCUCCUUCACAAAUGAUCUCCCUCCAUUAUGCUCCUGCGCUCGGCUGAUCCACUCUGACAGAUCCUCGCUGCUCCACCACAUUAAUUGCCGCAGGAAAACCCACAGAGAGAACCAGAUAAAAGGAAAGAGAAAGGUGGCAACAACUGGAGGAGAGCCAGAACCGCAGCGGGUAUGUCAGCAAGGAAAAAAGAAGUUUAUUAAAGCGGGGGAAUGUGUGGGAAAUUUUUGCUGAAACAUCACAAUUGUUCGCUUGAUAUUGUUUUGCUAUUUGCAGUUGUUUAUAUGGAUAUUUAACACAAAUAUACUGCUGCAGCAUUUGUCGUGUGUUUAAUACUAAUAUUUUCUUUUUGCACACUGGACUUAUUUUGU